GUCUUCAGGGCAGGGUGUGAUUCCCGACCGGCGGUAAAGUCCGCAAGCCGAAAGGCAUGAUCCGGUGCAACUCCGGAACCGACAGUACAGUCUGGAUGAGAGAAGAUG
rnacentral:ncRNA from 1 species